GGCGGCCACCUUGGCGCGUGGUACCCCCUGCUUGGGGCUUGUGCUCCCCAAGAAUUACCCCAGGGGGCUUCACCACCGGGUGCUCAGCACGCAGAGCUCAGAAAGGGCGUGCCAAGGAGACGCGGACCAUGCGUGUCCUUCCUUAGCCCCUUCCCUGUCCCAGGCCCCCACCGAGAAGGUGUGGAUUCAGGGCGAGGGAGGGCCGCCUCCCUGAAAUGUCGUGGGUCACAUGUUUCUUGCCAGCAUCGAUUGUGUUAGCGACACGUUCUCACCCCAGCCUCCCCGGCCUCCCAAUGCUGGGCUUGGGAAGCGUCACAGAGUGACAACUCGACACAGGACGGACGCAGUUGUCUGGGCAGCUGGGGGGCGUGGCACAGGUCCCAGGCAGGAGAGCAGCCCCACGUGACCUGCCAUCACGCCGGAGUCCCGGGUGCACUCGCGUUUGCGCUCGGCCGUCCCGCAGAACAUCUGCUUUGGGGCAGUGUUCCUCGAGGCACCCGAGAGGCCGAGGGGGAGGGAGGAGGCCCCCACGAGGCUUCCUGACCUUGCUGGGCAUGGCUAUGCAGGCUGGGGGUUCGCUGCACCUCAGGGGCUGGGCCGAGCAUCGUGUCGAGUCUGUGAGGUUCAGGGGAGGAAGCGGCGGGCACAGGGCAGUCAGGAAGGCUUCACAGAAGGGGUGACAUUAGAGGGGUUUCUGCAGGCUAGGCAACGUCCUAGAGGUCUGGGGUGUUAGAGGAUGGUUUGCACAAACGUCCCCCGGGAAGAGGCCACUCCGAUGUGCCUGCCUCAGUCUCCUUGUUCGUGCCUGGGUCCUGUGCUCUGUAGUGUCAGAUCGUCCUAGACCAUCUCCCGGGAUUCUGGAAAGGUCCUCAGUCUGCGGCUGGUGGUUUCCAGGAGUUGAGGCACGUUCCUUUGUGUACACUUCAGAAAAUCUGGGGCUGGUGGACCUGCGUCCCCAAGUUGCUGGGACAAAAUAAGCACGUCCCGUGUCACUUCGGAGGACGGGACCAGACACUGAAAACCGAGUGCCUGGGGCCUCUGGAGCACAGCAGCCCAUCACGGAGUUCAGGUGUUUGCCUUCGUCCAAUGGGAUGUGAAAAGGAGGGGUGACUGGAGCCUCCCUCUCUCACUCCCCCCAACCAGUGCCUGCUGGUGGAAAGACAGAGUAACAGAGCCCCAGAGGCAGUGGUGUUUGCCCUGCACACCAGCCCUGCUGGCUCCUAUAUUCCUCCUGCCUCUGACUGGUGCUCUCGCUCCCCUGGGGAGAGGUGAGCUGAGUCCCCGUGAGCCCAGCCAGGAAGUGGUAGGGCCGACUGCCCAGUGGUGUUGAGGGCAAAGCCCUGUUCCCAGCCCUGCUGUCAGGGAAGGUCGGGGGACAGCAGAAGGCCAUGGCUCUCCUGUCCUGGUGUCUGUGGUCAUGAUGCUGAAGCUCAGGGAGCUGGAGAGGUUCUGCAAACUCUGAGAUGCUCGCUCCCGGGCCUCAGGGCCUUUGCUUCACGCCCGGAGCUCAGUGCAGAGCCAGGAGGCCUGGCUGUGGAUGAGUCCACCACAGCCCCCUGGAGGCAGAGGCAGUGUGUUUGGCAGGCCCGGCAGGAAGGCAUCAUCCUUUUGAGUCGUCUCACUGUGGGUCCAGAUAGGAGCAGGAAGCCUUGAAAUGGGGGGUUUGCGCCCCUGCCUCCCUGGUGCCAGCAAGACACGCCUGCCACUCUGUGGUGCCACCACUGGGCGGGCCCAGGUCGUUCACCACAGCGGAGGGCUCUGCCACCCUGUCUCAGAGGUGACAACUGCCCGCCCAGGUCAGCCUUAGGAUGCGGGGUGCGGGCACGUAACGGAAGCCCUGUGCUGGGAUGUGCUCCGUCUGAUGGGGUGGUGCUGACCCUCAAAAUAUUUGUGUUCUCUGAAAACAAUGACCAAAACAAGCCAGAGAUGUUUUGGGGUUUCUCUUCUUUCAGCUCUGCCUCCUUCAGGAGGUCGGCGUCCCCGUUUUCUGUGUUGGCUUAAUAACUUAUACAGCAACUAUGUACGUGUGCAGACACAUCUGUCUCCUGGAUGUGGCGAUUGGAAGUUUGGGGAGACUGUCCCUAUAGGCGGAUCCGAUUAGAGAGGAAGAGUACUAAGGAUCUCUCUCUCUCAUCUGGCAGUGACAUCUGGCGUGGGUGCAUAGCAGACUUUUGCUAUUGCAAACCUGGAUCCAAGCAGAUGGAAAGACCAAAGACCGAAUUGGCUAAUAAUUCUAUUAUGCAUUUUAGUAAUAUUUUCUCAAUAUUUAGACUUUAUACAAAAAUUUGAGCCUUAUUUGACACUCAUCUACAGUAAUAAAAAUAGUCCGUAUGUAGCAUGAGAGGCUGCCUAGACCCGUUGGUGGGAAUCGUGGCUCUUGCAGCAGAUGGGGACAUGCCUGUCUCCGCUGUGUCCGCCGUGACCGGACGAGCAGCCAGGGGAGGCCAGGAACUCCAGCCCCACUGUUCAGCCGUUGAGGAGCUGGACAUUCAUUUACCCUCGUGUGCUGGGUCCUGGCGAUGCCCCCAGUCCGAGGGAGGAGCAGACACGGAAAUGGGGACUUACAGCGCACCCCGGAAGGGCUGAGGCAGGAGCCUUCCCGAGUGAGGGCUGGCGCGUUCCGGAGGCUGAGAGCAGCAGCGACCUAUGUCAUUCCCCGUGACUGGUAACAGAGCAUGCAGACCAGAGGGCAGUGGGAUCCAGGGGCCUCCCUUCCCCCACCCCGCCUUCCUUCCUCUCAUCUCCCUCUUUCCCUCCCUGCCUCCAAAAUCUGUAUGAAACUCCCUCUCCUGUGUAACUCCUCCUUAUCGCCAGUCUGAGCCUGGUCAUUUUUAAAGGGACUUCUCCUCUUUGGCAAGAGGAACCGGCUGGAUAAUCGCGUUUUUCUGACCCCAAACUGGCAAAACUGACAGUGCUCCGGUUUGAGCACUAAGUGCGUUUUGGAAGUGAACUGACUCACUGGAGGUGACAGCCAGGACCCCAAAACUCGCGUCCUUUUCCUACUGCCUGCUUGAAGUGAGGUCCCGCGGCUCUUGUGUAAGCCUGGCACCCAACCCCGGAGGGUGUCUGCAAGGGGCACCCCCUUUCCCGCCAGCAGAACCAGAGCUGCUCCCAUGACCUGGCCUUGGAUGGGCUUGUCCCGCACAGGAGGCAGUGGGCCAGGCCUCAGCCGCGCCCCCACUUCCACCUCUGAUCAGACCUGUCGCCGGGGUUUGGGACUGUAGUUCUGAGAAAACCUCAGCGUAGCUGGUUCUGGGGUGGUUGGAGAUUGGCCAGAUCUGUUUCCACUUUCCAUGCAUAAUUCGGGAGAGGUGGGCCCACCAGGGUCUGACCAAGUCUUCCUCAUGCUUGACAGUCGAGCUCACGCGUCCUGUUUCCCGGGGCUCGCUCUGUUGUUGGCCUGUACCGCUCUCGUCUCGCCCGGCCGGAGCCGCCACUCCCCUCGGACUCCUACAACACUCAGUGCCUAGCUCUUUUUGUUACCGUCUUUACCGAGUACAGGAAGUUUCACUUUGUUCCCAGGUUUGCUGUGCCGUUCCUGGGUCUGUGCGGUAUCCUGUUCCUUUAGCAGCUACUUCCCGCUCACUGGCGCUGUGCUGGGCUUGUGCUAGGCACCGGGGACUUCUGCAAUGGGCAGAAUGGGAUAUGGUCCCUGCCCUGCUGGUGCGUGCUCCUUUCCUGGCCUCUGUGCUGCGUGUAGUCGCCAGCAUGUAGGUAUUAAAAUCAUUUGGUAAAAUAAAAAAGUUUAAAAAAGAAUAAAGCCAUUUGGUGAAUGCAUGGCUUGCUUCUCUUUGAUGGCGCAGACGGAAAGGUUCCCGGCUCAGCUGCACUAUGCCGAGGGCUGUGGUGGACAUGUGAAGGGAGUUUUAAUGAGCAAGAUUAGUCUUAUUGGAAGCCGGGCUCCGCUUCCAGAGGGCAGCUGUGCACAGACGAUCUGUGCUGGAAACAGACGGAGGAUGAGCACGGAGCAAGCUCGGUGUCAUGUCCCGCUCUCGUUUUCCUUGUUUCUGUUGCAAAUCUCCCUCCAAGAGCAUCUUAGGGGUUGGCAGGAUACUUGCUGACAUAUCAGAAUCCAUCCCUGUGUAGGUUUCAUGGCAAGAGCUGGGUGCACAGUUCAGCUGAUCCCCAUAAAAGCCAGCGACCCGGACCAUCUGGACAGCGUUUCUGCCAGGUGGUCUGAUAAGCAUUUGUCUCCUGGGUUCUGUCUGGAGACCCUUUGGAACCAUUUGGCUGCUUCGGGCGCCAGGUAGAGACUCAAGGAGCCCAGCCGUAGCCUGGGUUUUAGAUGCCAGAGGACUGCCGGCCCAGAGGGGGAGCUGGAAUAUCUUUGUAGCACGCAGAGGUCACUUACAUGCAGGUAGCCGGCACGUGGAGGGACACGGAGCAGGACAGCUGCUCCGAGCACGGGGCCAUGCGUCUGGACCAGGCUGUGCAUUACCGAGGAGUGUCUGGCCUUGCCAACACCAGUCGACCUAGUGAACCUGGGAGGCUUCACGGGCUCUGACAUUUGUGUCGGGUUUUGCUGGAGUUUCUCAAGCAUAUGCCUGCAAGACCGUCAGCCCAGUGUCCUCAGUUUGGUUGGUCCUGACAGGACAGUCGGCCUGGGACACGGCCACGCCUGGCUUCUCAGUUUUCCAGACCACAUUCUUCGCAGUAAGGAGAAUGUGCCUCCAGCCGACCCCACCUCCCCUUUAAGGCAGGGCCGGAGAUUAAAGUGUGGGCAGGGGCCUGCCCCAGGUCACCCUUGACCCUUCCUAGCUGGCUUGUCGUUUAUUUUCUGAGAUGCCUAAUGGAGCCAUGGCUUCCCAUCCCCUGAGAAAACAAACCAAUGAGUUUCUUGCAAUGAGAUCCCUCUAAAACACAGUGCAGUGGGCUUUUCCAGUAGCCAUGUCAGGAGAAAGGGUUUAAUCUAAAUGAAUUUCAUGCAAACACCUCCUGUCGUCAGUACGGCAGAUUUCUGGAUCACCUUAAGCAAAAUUCAGGGUUCGUUUUGUGUCUGCCUCGAGGGAGUUCAGUUUCUCCAGCUGCUGCCAGUCCCUCGACUCCGAGGCCUCUGAGCUCCCGGUGGAGCAGUGCUCCCGGCCAGAGAGGAGCACAGUGCCUGACCUCUGACCUCUGAUCCCGUACCGUUGACCCGGCUCCUGGGCCCGUGGACCUAGACUUGAGGGCUGUCUCCCCCAAAUCCAGACAUGGUGGCCAAGCACACCUUAGAAUCCCUCUGAGAGGAGUCAGGGUUUGGCACACAGCAUCGAUUUCAGAGUUGGCGUGGGGAGUCGGGAAGGGCUUCCCGAGCCGGCGGAGAUAUUAACGUGAGUGUGUGGUCUGCGUGUGUGUGCACACGUGAGUGCAGUGCGUGUGCACGCGUGUGUGGUAUAGUGUGCGUGUAAACAUCACACAGAUCGAUAUGCACCGUGUGUCAUUAGGUGCAUGUCCCAUUGGAACACCUUCUGUGUCCUUUCGGUUUGACAGUUACUGUGUGCGUGUGUCUAACAGACUCACGGAGCGACCGCUCACGCCUGUCGGGCACGUGCUAAGGGCUGUACUGUUCUGAGUGAUUUAUUUGGAUGGGCUCGCUUAAUUUUCACAGAGAGCCCUAGGACGUGGUUUUAGGCACAUUCCACAGAUGGGGAAACCGAGACCCCGUGAGAUUCUCCCGCUCUCGUCCCAGGUCACCAGCCAGUGAGGCGUGGAGCUGGGAUUUGCGCCCAGCUGCCUGGCUUCAGGUUGUGGCUCUUGGCUCCGUGCUGGGCAUCCGGUCUCUGCCAAGGCCUCUGUGUAGCCCCGUUUUGCAGAGAAAGCCAAAUGAGGUUGCAGCGUCCCUCGGAUACCCUGCUGGUCAGUGCUGCCCCCGCCCUGGGUUCUCCCCACGUUGCCGGCCCUACCCUCAGCCCGGCAGGGCGGGCGGGGCUGAACUAUUGCACACUGUCCCUGGGGAGCUCACUGGGCCAUGUGGCAUUUCCCGUCCAGUUGGGUCUCUGACCGCAGGGAGCUGAGCCGAGGUAUAGGCCACCCCUGCUGGGGGGAGAACAACUCACAUCAGCAUCCCCAAAGUUCGCAGUGCAGGUUGGAAAACAGUCAUGGGAAAGAGGCUCAUUAAUCAUGUAAAGCAGCCUUUCCAUUAGUGUAAUUUCUAUUUAUGGCAAUCUGCUAAUUUAUUUGAGCUGAAGUGGGGCUGGGCUAAGUCCCUGCACCUGUCGUUUCUUCAGGUCUGGCACGUGGGUGCAGACAGUCCAUCUUCCUCGGAGACGCCUGAGGUGCAGGCUGCCCCCUCCGGCUCCCGCACCUGGAAGCCGGCUUGGAAGUGACUGUCGGCUGCUCCCUGGUGAUGGGCUUCCAGAUUUGCUCUGUAGGCUGCGGAAGACGAGUUCAUGAUAAGCUUCAGUUCUAUGAAUAAAGACAAGGUCUCAGAAACUGCUCAGUGUUUUCAAAUCGCAGUACGGCACCAGAUACAUCAGUGCUAACGGUCUAGCUGAAGAUGAGCGGGAAGGUGCGUUAUUGGCUUUCUGCAUUUUCCUUGCAUCUAACUGUUUUUCAGAGAUCUGGAAUUAAGCAUCCAUGGUUCUCAAGACACGUGGAAGAUUAACUGUGUAUCAUGAGAAUGCUGUAAAUCAAAAGGCUGUGUACAAAUACUAAGUUUCCUUAACAACGAUGAAUGACCCGCAAUCAUAUGUAAGGCUCACAUAACAGACUGGGCUCCUGAAGAGUAGGAAGGCUCUCAUCUAGGCCUUUCAUGCCUAGCCCCUACCUCAGUGCACAGAGUGGGUGUUGACAGAUACUUGCUGUGAGUCACUGGAACGGGGAGGUGCAUGGGGACAGAGGCAGGCCGCAGGGACAGCAUAGACACACUACAGGGUGCAGCCGUCACAGCCAGGGAAGAAGGAAGGGGUGACUUCUGGGCUGGUGCUGGGUCAGAGGGGACAUCCCCAUUAAGGUGAGGUUGAGGCUCCAGUCAACAGAAUGGCUGAGAAGGUUCCGGGUUGGGGAGAACACAGGAGUAAGGGCACCAGGGCAGGACAUCACCCA